rnacentral:lncRNA from 1 species
GGAAAUGCUGGAAAUAGAUUGUCCCCACCAAGGAAUCUGCCCUGAGGGGUGCUGGAACAGCAAGCUGUUUGUUUAGCUAUGUUGCUGUAACACACCAGGAGGUCACUGCCUGUUGGUCGUGAGUGGAUACCAUGGGAUCAAAGCUGCCCCCUCUGUCCUUUAUUGCUAAAUAGAUUGGAAAGGCAGUCUGGCUACCCAGGUGUUUUUAUUCUGAAAGAUAUAAAACAUUUUGCCUUCUACCUUCUGUCCUGGGACAAAUUCCAUUUUGUCACAUUUUUGUUGUGAUGGAUACAGUGCAUCAGCUCAGAGAAGUCCACCCUUUUCCUUCACUGUCCUAGUCACAGAAGCACUCAGAAGCACCCAGACCUACGGUUUCCUUGCUGUUAACAUGAAGAGAUGCAAAACUUGGGGAAUCUUCACAAGCAAUCUGGAGGA